GGAAUAUUGCGCAAUGGGCGGAAGCCUGACGCAGCGACGCCGCGUGGGGGAUGAAGGUUUUCGGAUUGUAAACCCCUUUUGUGAGGAAAGAUAAGGUAGGUAACUGCCUGGACGGUACCUCAAGAAAAAGCACCGGCUAACUUCGUGCCAGCAGCCGCGGUAAUACGAAGGUGGCGUGCGUUGUUCGGAGUUACUGGGCGUAAAGAGCACGUAGGCGGUUGGGUAAGCCUCUUGGGAAAUCUCCCGGCUUAACCGGGAAAGGUCGAGGGGAACUACUCAGCUAGAGGACGGGAGAGGAGCGCGGAAUUCCCGGUGUAGCGGUGAAAUGCGUAGAUAUCGGGAAGAAGGCCGGUGGCGAAGGCGGCGCUCUGGAACGUACCUGACGCUGAGGUGCGAAAGCGUGGGGAGCAAAC
rnacentral:rRNA from 1 species